rnacentral:rRNA from 1 species
UACGUAGGGACCGAGCGUUGUCCGGAUUCAUUGGGCGUAAAGAGCUCGUAGGCGGCUCGUUGCGUCAACCGUGAAAACCCGGGGCUUAACUUCGGGCUUGCGGUUGAUACGGGCGGGCUGGAGUUCGGUAGGGGAGACUGGAAUUCCUGGUGUAGCGGUGAAAUGCGCAGAUAUCAGGAGGAACACCGGUGGCGAAGGCGGGUCUCUGGGCCGAUAUUGACGCUGAGGAGCGAAAGCGUGGGGAGCGAACAGG